ACGGGAGGCAGCAGUGGGGAAUAUUGGGCAAUGGGCGAAAGCCUGACCCAGCAACGCCGCGUGAAGGAAGAAGGUCUUCGGAUUGUAAACUUCUUUUAUGAGGGACGAAGGACGUGACGGUACCUCAUGAGUAAGCUACGGCUAACUACGUGCCAGCAGCCGCGGUAAUACGUAGGUAGCGAGCGUUAUCCGGAUUUACUGGGUGUAAAGGGCGCGUAGGCGGGGAAGCAAGUCAGGUGUGAAAUCUAUGGGCUUAACCCAUAAACUGCACUUGAAACUGUUUUUCUUGAGUGCUGGAGAGGUAGACGGAAUGCCUAGUGUAGCGGUGAAAUGCGUAGAUAUUAGGAAGAACACCAGUGGCGAAGGCGGUCUACUGGACAGUAACUGACGCUGAGGCGCGAAAGCGUGGGGAGCAAACAGGAUUAGAUACCCUGGUA
rnacentral:rRNA from 1 species